UUGAAUUUCCUCUCCUUCCCCUUUUAACCUUUUCUUCUACCAUUCUGCUUAGAGUCUUCUGCCCCACCCCCACUACAAAAGUGGCACCAGAACCAUACUACCAAAAAGUAUUGUGCAGUAUUAUACUGGCCACAGAGAGAGAGAGAGAGAGAGAGAGAGAGAGAGAGAGAGAGAAAGAGAGAGAGAGUCCGGGAUUGGGCUUUUCUAGGGUUUCUCAUCUUUAUUCACAACUAGAUUAUUAUCAACUCCAGUUUGUCCCCACCAAAUAGCAAGGAUGAAGUCGGGGGUUUGGGUAGCUUGGACGGCCAACUGCUAUAUGUUUACACAACAGUCCCAAAGGCCAAAGGGGGCAAAGCCUCGAGGAAGAAGGCUGGGAGGAAGAGGAUGAAGGAAAAAACGAGUCCUGCCAUGGCUUUCCACAGCUUUCUUGAACUUCUCUUUUUGUUAUUUAAGAUCAAGAAGUUCAAAAAAGCUGUGGGAAUCGAUGGCGAUUUAGGACUUUCUCACUUUUUUGGCUGAUCGAUGGUGCAAUUCUCCUAUCUUCACUGAUCUGCUUAUGCAUAUGCAGUGCUGACUCUUGUGAGCAUGAAAGAUGUGCAUGCAAGACAGAGAUCCUUAACUUUUAUGCAGUGCAUUGGCGAAGACUCUAAACUUCUGUGCAGUGCAGUAUGUUAUUUGGCUUCAACAUUGAAAAAUUGCUCCAAUCCAUCCAUGGGGCUCAGCUUACAUGUUAUGGGGGAAAUAAAGAAAAUGGUGUUAAUUCUUCCUGUUUUUCUGUUGUUCAUCUUGAAGACGGACCAUGAGCAUCAGAGGAAGGGUGAAGGAUAGAGGUGCUUUUGUUUGAAGAACAUCUCUCCCAUCUUCAAUAUAUGGAUAUCAGGGCGUUAAUUAAGGGGUAAAUGCUUUUAUUUCCCCUUUUUUUUCUAAUUACAGCGAACACUGUUGGAUUUGUGUUGUGAAAUGCAAUUCAAGUAGGGGCUUCUCCAUCUUUAGGGGGAUAUUGGAUGAGAGGGUGCAACCUGAUGUUCUCUAGGGUUGUCCGCAAUCUUGGUUUCACACGAUAAUUAGCUCUAUUUCUGCAACCAACUUCAUAUGAAAAAAAAUUUAUAGGUGCCAUUUCCAGAACAAGCUUACCUGUUUGCAAACUGUCCCUGCAGAAGCCGUUUGUUCUUGCAGACUUACGAUAUUCUUUCUGAGGAACGAAGUUGAGCGAUUAUCUACUUGUGUGUGUGAGAGAGAGAGGUGUAUAGGAGAAAAAGGGGAAGAGGGGAUGCUUCUGCAAUUGAUAAUAGUAAUUUAAUUCUCUCUACCUGGGCUAGGUGGGCUAGUAUAGAGAUAUAACUGGGCUGGGAUGAGAGGACCACAGGUUUAAUCUCUCUCUCUCUCUCUCUCUUAAAGUGUACAAAAACUGCUGUUAAUUUUCCAAAGGUAAAUUGUACUGGCUGUUGGGCAGCUCAAAUUUGAACACCAUUCUCCUCUCUACACCUCCAUCUCUCUACAUUUUAGGCUAUACUCUCCAUUGCAUAGAAAGAUUGGUCUACAUACAGCAGUUUCAAUGCAUGUAGAGAUCUCUGUAACAACUUGGCAGGGCUAAUUACCUCAGUACAUGCUUCAGUAUUCGCUCUCGAGUGCUGCAUGUUUACUCCAGGAGAUCUCUUGCUCGAAAAAUAAUCUUCAAAAUCUAAAUACUUAUCAUCUCAUCAGUGGGCGCAACCUUUUGUCACUUCAAUGUCGAUCAUAACCUCCUCCCUUUUGCUUUUUCUGCUUUCUUUUCAAGGAUUAUGACAGCAAAAACUCGAUACCCUACCUUUCAGUGGGCACUUUACCAAAAUAAGCUACACUGGCUAUUUCAAAGUGACAAUUUUUUUUUAUGAAAAUUCACAAGAUCUUGGCCUCUGCCGCUUAAUUUCCAUCCAUGGCCUCGACCAUGUCAUGUGAUUGUGGCCCUCCGCCUGUUAAGUCAAUUCGGACGCUACCUUUUACACAUCAUUAAUCAUGAAUGCUGGUGAAACCUCAUCGGCUGUAGUUGUUUUUACGUCACAGUCGAAAAUGAUGACAUUCUCUUGAAAAUGUCGUGGUUUUGCUGCAGGGCUUUCAAAAGGCCAGCACAGGCUUCUGGAUACAUGUAUGUAUGUCUGUAUUCUUAAAGAGUGCUUGUUCCAGAACUACUAUGUUACCAUGACAGUAAUACCUUACUGAAAUUUUAUGAAUCCCAAUAAAAGUGAGUGUAAAUCUCUUCUACUUAUGCUGCAGUAUCAUAUAUACCUCAUUAACUUGCUAAUAUAUACAUAUUUUCUUUGUUAUAUUAUAAAAUCUUCAUAGAUCUCCAGAUCUUCCAAGAACUAUCUAGGUUUAUCUAAGACUUCAGAGAGAGAGAGAGAGAGAGAGAGAGGAGUCUCUCUCAAUUGCUUACCAAUUAAUAAUGCAUCAGAGGGGCCAUGCUCUUACAUGAAGAGGAGGUCUGUAGGUCCACUUUCUCCGCAGCCUUGCAUGCGCCAACAUGGGACGUUAUGCAUAGGGACAAGAAGUAGCAGUGAUUUUUUCUUUUUUUCUGUAAGAGAGAGAGAGAGAGACAAGUGGGGAGGAACACAAGGAGGAGAUGGGUGUUCAUUUCCUUUCACCGUUUCAGAGAAGACGGCAUCUCCGCCAUUUAUUUUGUCUUCGCAGUCGAUUGAUGUGAAAUCUCUGGCUUCACCAAAUACCCGUUUGCCGUCCCAACGUGGAAGUCAUUUUCUCAACCCUAGUGAGAGAGAGAGAGAGAGCUCUGGUAACUUUUCUUUUAUGUCAACUCCAGCGGAUCUCUUUUGUUUUUACUCCUCUGUGUCCAAAAGAGAACAAGAUAGUGGUGAAAGUGCAACUAUGCAGUUCCGUGGGAAAGAAGAAGAAGAAGAAAACAUGAUUUCAUCACGAAAUUAUGUUCAUAUUUUUCUAAAAAAUUUAUAUUCAUCACAUCACUUUCAAUUUCCUGUUUUCUUGCUUGUAAAAAAAUCUCUCUAAUCUUUUGCAUCACUCAUGCUAUAUCCUGGCCUACCCAUAUUCUACAGUCUACGUAUGCUGACAUUUUCAUAUUGUAAAUUACCAUGACUAGUUCAUAUUGUAAACAGAAAAAAAGAAAGCAAAAGAAAACGAAAAGAAAAGGACGUUGGAAGACACCAGUAAAAGUGAACAGUGUCCUUUUACUCAUGAAAUGUAAGGCACUCAACGCAGGUGGUGAAAAUGUAUUUAAUGCAGCCGUAGAAUCAAGAUGCAGCAAAAAAAGAAAAAAAAUUCAAGCCUCAUAGUUUUUUAUUUCAAAUGUAAAUUCGAAAUUUAAAAUUCCACAAGCUGCUCUUUCACUUGGGUAGAUUCUGAAACUUCUGAUGUGGAGGCAUUUUGGCAGGUGAAAAAAAAAAUCCAGAAAUGGAAGCUAUUCGAAAUUCGAUAUCUUACGGGGACUGGCUUGUUAUUAUUAUAUAUGACCAUAUAUGGACAUAUGGUUACACGAAUCAUGCUUAUACUUUUGAGAAUGCCGUAAACUGAAGAGGUGGGUCCCACUUCGGCUACAAAAGAAUCUUAUGAUGCUCUGCAACCGAAUCACUCUUUUUAUUUUUACUUUUUCUGAGAACUUCAAUUAAUUUUUUUUUGGUCUAAAAAUAAAGGGAUGGCGUGAUAAAUUCCCUGUACUUUCUCCUUAACCCUUCGCACACGUGCGUCUUAAGCGUUACUUUUGUUUCAUCUAGAAAUCAAGUCCCCACUUUGCUAUUGCCAGGUGUUUAGAAAAAAUACAAUUCUCAAAAAGGAUACGGCUGCCCCAGUAAGAAAUUUCUGGGAAUACCACUAAAAUGAAAAUCUAAUUAAAUGAGGGGUUUGGCCAGAAACAUAUUUAAUAUUAUAGAAUUAAUGUAAAAAUAAAAAAUUUUAUAAGCUUCCGAACGAGCGAUUUACUUUAGAACGAAAUGGUCGAGAACCAAAAAAAUUAUAAAACACGGGUUUGAGCGCAGUUGUCCCUCCAAUUCCAUGGCUCUCUGUCUUUCGCUCUCUCCCUCUGUCUCUCUCGGAUGAAUGUUCCGCGGUUCCAUGUUUUUGAAGAAGACCAACAUAAGGAAGAAGGUGCAAGAGGAAGAGGUUGAGGCUUGAGUGGAUCGACUUCCGAAAUCCUGGCUCGCUCGACCCGUCUUCUUUGAACCAACCCUUCUGGUUUGGCCAAGCUAUCUGCUUCAUGAGAUAACCUAAAUUCUUAGAAUUGAUAUAUUUGUAACCAUGGAACUUGUCCUAAAAAUGAUGUCAUGCAUGAAAUGGCUAUGACAAUGGAGCACCAGACCUUCAUCCAGGAUUAUGCUUUACAUCGCACAGUCGUGCUCUAAUUCAGUAUAUUUUUCAGUGAGAAGAAAUCAUCAAUAUCUGAAUGGGGUCCAUUCAUGCAUUGCGAAAACCAUGCAUACUAAAAAAGUAGAAACUUAUUCUCUAGUACUGUAUAGGUAGUGGAUCCACUAUUUGCACAUAUUUGGUUGUUUGUCUUUGCUAAUAGAAAUAGAUAUGCCUUUCUGGUACCAUAUAGAAGUUCGUUUUCAAUCUUUUAGAAGGUUGAUUUUGUUUCCAAUAUCAAGAUUGCCAUUGGUUGUGCAGUUUUUAUAAUUGCACUGGCUAUUUAUAUUUCAUAUUCAGUUUGUAGUUUUGUUUGUUAAUCUAUUGUCUAUAUGAAAUAUUGCACGGAAUUUAAUAUGAGUAGUGGAUGAGACGUAUGCAUGACAGUACCUAUUCUUAGUGUCACCCAUGACAGUGAUCAGUAACUUUUCUUACCAUUACUUAGACAGCUUUAUGUACAAAAAAUGCUCUGCAUGUUUGUCAGGCCUAUGAAACAGUACCUAUAGACCUAUAAUUUUGAGUAAUUUUGAUUCAGAUUUGUAGCUUUUGGACUAUGAGAUUUGACACUUACAUGAUGCCUGCCUGCCACAAUAACCCAAUAAUUCUUCUGAUAGCAUUGGACCAACUCCACAAGUGUACAAUUUUCUUCUGAGAAACUUUUCUUUCACUUCACGUCCAAAGUGAAAUCUGGAUGAGGUUUUGAUUUUGGUUGGUUCGUGAGUCUCAGUCAUGUUGUCCGAUCUUCAGUAGAAAUGGACCAGAUAGCCCUUGAGAUUUUCCGAAAGGCAGAAAUCUUGCUUACAGCAUUAUGCUGCAUUUCACACUCAUUCUGAAGAUGUUCAUCAUUCUCACUGCCCCUGCUUUGGAUUCUAACUUGAGUCUUACUGCUGUCCACCUGGAGCAGCGAUUUCCACUACUUUAUGGUUCAGCAACCAUUUCCUAGAGGAGACUUGACGUAAUCAGGCAAGCAUCUUGCAGAAUUCUAUGACAGGUCAUUUGUUUGUUUCCUGGAAUUUACAUUCUCCUCAAGCUGGACAAAUAGUUGAUAUUCCUUUGAUUUGCCAACCAUAUAGAGAGAGGCUAAUAAACAGCUGGAUGAAACAAUUAGUGAAAAUAAAAUUUGAUACCUACGCUGUUAUGUCAACCA